rnacentral:rRNA from 1 species
AGAACGCUGAAGCUUGGUGCUUGCACCGAGCGGAUGAGUUGCGAACGGGUGAGUAACGCGUAGGUAACCUGCCUGGUAGCGGGGGAUAACUAUUGGAAACGAUAGCUAAUACCGCAUAAGAGUAGAUGUUGCAUGACAUUUGCUUAAAAGGUGCAAUUGCAUCACUACCAGAUGGACCUGCGUUGUAUUAGCUAGUUGGUGGGGUAAAGGCUCACCAAGGCAACGAUACAUAGCCGACCUGAGAGGGUGAUCGGCCACACUGGGACUGAGACACGGCCCAGACUCCUACGGGAGGCAGCAGUAGGGAAUCUUCGGCAAUGGACGGAAGUCUGACCGAGCAACGCCGCGUGAGUGAAGAAGGUUUUCGGAUCGUAAAGCUCUGUUGUAAGAGAAGAACGAGUGUGAGAGUGGAAAGUUCACACUGUGACGGUAUCUUACCAGAAAGGGACGGCUAACUACGUGCCAGCAGCCGCGGUAAUACGUAGGUCCCGAGCGUUGUCCGGAUUUAUUGGGCGUAAAGCGAGCGCAGGCGGUUAGAUAAGUCUGAAGUUAAAGGCUGUGGCUUAACCAUAGUACGCUUUGGAAACUGUUUAACUUGAGUGCAAGAGGGGAGAGUGGAAUUCCAUGUGUAGCGGUGAAAUGCGUAGAUAUAUGGAGGAACACCGGUGGCGAAAGCGGCUCUCUGGCUU